AUUGAACGCUGGCGGCAGGCCUAACACAUGCAAGUCGAGCGAGCGGCGGACGGGUGAGUAAUGUAUGGGGAUCUGCCCGAUAGAGGGGGAUAACUACUGGAAACGGUGGCUAAUACCGCAUAUAAUCGAAUAACCCCAAAUGGGAUUAGCUAGUGGGUGGGGUAAAGGCGCACCUAGGCGACGAUCCCUAGCUGGUCUGAGAGGAUGACCAGCCACACUGGGACUGAGACACGGCCCAGACUCCUACGGGAGGCAGCAGUGGGGAAUAUUGCACAAUGGGCGCAAGCCUGAUGCAGCCAUGCCGCGUGUAUGAAGAAGGCCUUAGGGUUGUAAAGUACUUUCAGCGGGGAGGCGUUACCCGCAGAAGAAGCACCGGCUAACUCCGUGCCAGCAGCCGCGGUAAUAC
rnacentral:rRNA from 1 species